rnacentral:lncRNA from 1 species
GGAAAUUGAUUUUAAUAUUAGGGUUUCACGAUUCACAAAUCACCGAUGUCAUACGCUUUAUUCGGUCUUCCCUUCCUCUUCCCAAAGACCUAAAGUCCAACUCCAAACAUUGAACGACGACUGUCAAGACUCAAUCGACGAUCGACUAGCAUGCAGUAGAAAUCGACCAUCGACUCAAUCGACGACGACUGGAGAGUGGAUAUUGACGACGUCGACGAGUCAGUCAAUUACUCAAUCAGCGAUUUCUCCACCAAAAACGCGACCGCCGACUGUGACUUCACGAUUUCGAUUUCUCGCCUCCCAGUUGACUUCUCCACCAGAAAUCGGAGUUAAGUUAUUUAAAAUCUGAAUUUAAGGUUUGCAGUUUGCUGUUUCUCGCCUCUCAAUUUCUGUAUCUCAACGUCGAGUAUUCACAGUUCGACUGCUAGUCUGCGACUACUCCACCUAAGACGCGACUGUGAGUCUGUGACUUCAAGAUUUCUGUUUCUCGCAUCCCAGUCGACUUCUCCACCAGAAAUCGGAAAUAAGUAAUAUAGUCAUGUGUAUUUUGACUUUUUGUGGUUUUUUGUUGACUGUUGUUGACUGCUAGUUUGUUGUUCACUAUAUUUCAUGAUAUACUCAUGUUUAUUUUGAUUGGUUGCAAAUCUGAAUUUGUUCACUGCUCACUGUAAUAUAGUCAUGUUUACAUAUUGUAGUUGUGUAAAGAUUGUAGUUGUGUAAAGAUUUUAGUUGUGUACAGGUUUUAUAGUGGUUGUUUACAAAUUUUGGGAUCUUACUGUAGUUAUUUACAGAGUGUAGUUGUGUAUAGAUUUUGCUAUUUCUAUGAAAAAAUAAUGCUGAUUAGUAUAUUUGUGUGAACCAUUUUCAGAUUUUUUUAGUUAUGUCUUCAGCGGAGCCGAAUCAACCCAAUGAUUCAACCACGGUUAAUGAUACCGCCAAUUCUGCAGUUAACUAUAGCGAGAAACAAAUGAAAUUUAUAUCUCUAAUGUGACGUCAUUUCACCUAUGAAGAAGUUAAUGGAACCAAAAUGGCGGUUUGUAAGUAUUGUAGAAAGGAAAUUACUUAUACAACCAAAAAUGGAACCAAAGGGAUGCAUUCUCACCAUAAGUCAUGCAAAAAAUAUAUGAAUGAAUUUGCUUGAACCAUUGUUUGUUUUUUUCAUUUUAAUAUAUUUUUCUUAUUACCUUUAUUUUUUUUCUUGGUUAGGUUGUGUUAUUGAUGGUGAUGAUUUACAUUCCGAUGAAGACGACGAGGGAAUUGAGGUAAAAUUAUUAAAUUUGUUGUUUUGUAUUGAAUAAACUAAGAUAACAAUUUAUUUUAUUAUCAUUUUUGUUAUUUAUUUAGGGAGGAUAUUCAAAUGUCAAUGAAUGAAGGGUUGAAGGAAAUUAAUGGAUAUUGAAGAUGUAGGACAUGUUGGUAUUUUAUAUUUGUAAUUUUGGAUUUGUCGUAUUUUGCAUUUGUAGUAUUGGAUUUAUCUUUGUAAGAUUGUUGGAAUUGGUGUUUUGUAAUGUUAGAUUCAUAAUGUUGGAUUUUUAAUUUUUUUUUUUGUUUCUAAAAGAUCAGGUUUUAAGUUUUUUAAGUUAUUAAAAAUAGUCUUUUUAGUCUAAAA